ensembl:lncRNA
CACAGGCGGCGGCGGCUCGGCAUGGCUGCUGCCGGCGGCUGAGGGAGCGGGGUACCCUCUUCGGCGGUGCAGCCCGUCGGAAGGAGGAGGAGGAGCAGCGACCACCGCCCUGCGGUGCUGGGGGCUCCAGGCCCCAGAGCAAGCAUCUACACGAAUGUUAGCACUGAGUAGGCAGUUCUGGACACAAACUGCCUGCUCUGUGCACAGGUUUCCAGUAAACAGAAGUUACAGUUUAACACUCUGGCUAAGGGACUGUGAAGGAGCAAGCUUCCCCGGUACAAGACUAUGGCCUUCUAAUACUCAAUUGUACCGUCUCCAUCUACUGGCCAGAAGAAACUUUAGCUGGAGCACAGAACUGGUGAAAUAGAACAACUGCAUCCACAUACUUCUUCACGCUAUGGCCAAAACCUAGCCAUUCGGGGGUUUGGUGGGUUUAAGGUUGGUUUGAGACUUUCUUCCAGGAAUACUAACUCCUAAACAGAAAAACACUCUACAGUAAAAAUAUCUCUUGGCAUUUUAUUCUCAGAUAUUUAAAAAAGGUGGUGUUGCACGAUUUUACUUCAAGUAAUUCAGGCAAGGUUAACUUCCCUGAGUCAAGAUCUUGUGUUACAGUCGUAUUUUUCACUAGUCUGCAUCCAAAACAUGACUUUUACUCCAAGCUGGUUUUGGUUGGAAGAGUAGCAUUAGUUUUUAAGGUAGGAUACAAACUGAAUAUAAAACCUUUUAAUUCAUUUAUAACAAAUCCUAUCACAGCAAGAUAGGAUUUGAUAUAAUCCUAUCUUGUUAAUACCAUUAACUAGCACAUAGUACAUGAAAAAACAUACUUCAGAUAUAUUUAAAAGAUAACUGUUGCUACUUAGGAAAAAAGCAGUCACACAUUUAAUGCAGAAAUAGUAAGUUGAAGAAAUCCCCUUUCUUUUCUUCUUUCCUCCUUCCCCCCCUCAAAAGAUAGCAGCCCUCUGCAAAAGACAGCAAGCAGUGGCAGUGGCAUUGGCAAAAUGAGGGACAAGAAAUCUGAGCAAAACUGACUGAAGUUGAACUUGCAGUUCCAUUCAGUCAUCUCUAACUCUGGAAUGCUUCCCUGUUUACCCCGAGAACAUCUGUGAACAUGCAUGCUUCCCACUUUACUGGAAGAAAAUUCCAGAAUUAUUCCAGCAACCAUCUGGUGCCUCAGGAGAGGUUUGAGCCCUCCUCUGCUAGCAGCAACACCGCAUCCUCCAGAAAAUCCCCAAACCCCUACAGGCAUUCACUGCUUAUGGUUAAAUUUUCACUAUCCAUGGAUAAAUAAGUGAAACUUGGCUAUAAGUACUUGUGUCCAUCUAGUGUUAUAUUAGCUCAAGUUAUUCUUAAACCAAGAGUGCUACCAAUACUAAACUCAACAGACAUUUAGAUUUCAUGGUUUAGCAGCUGCAGAAAUUCCCUGCACCUAAAGUGAGGUCAUGGGCAGCCUCCGGAGUGGGAAAGCAAAGUUAUAAAAAUGAAGCGACUUGGACAUGCUAGCUCCUACCUUCCUUUCUUGAAAACAUAUAGGGGAAAUCACAUCACUGGUGCAAACCAGAAUGAUAGGAAAGGAUCUCACAGAUUGUAGAAACAGUUUCCCUGGAGCAGAAAUGGCCAUUCCUUGUCUCCAAACCAGGGAGGUGAAUUUCACCUAACUCCAGCCUUGCAAAAGCACUCGGAGAUCAUCAUCCCAGGUUUCCACUCCCAGGCUGAUUUUCUUGACAGACUCAGAAUAGCUGAGAGGCUAUUUGGUUUCUCCUCUACCAGAUAAUUAGAAAGAUCAGAGUGAAUUCUACAAGCAAGAUCUGUGAACUCAUAAAGACCAAACAUUUGAGCCUCAUGGGCUAUGAAGGAACAAGACACUGCCUUUGAAAAGCAAAUACUCUGAUACAGAAAAGUGUUCUAAAACUCAAGAGACAAACCCAGCCUUCUACUGGAAAACAAACCAUACUGUUCCUGAGCUUAGCAUUUUGUAUUCAAAGACAAACCACGCACCUUUCUCAUGUCCUCUAGUCCUCACAUCUCUCUUGCCUCAAAAAAGAUGCUGUAGAAACCUUGUCCUGAAUUAAGAGAGAACUAGACUUAUGGCUUCUAGGGCUACAGCAGUGGGUAGUGUCUUCUGAAUGAGGCUCUUGUGACAGAGGAAGUUAAUCCAGUAGUGGCACAGAGGCAACUUGUUAUUGUACCUGUUAAUAGCAUGGUAAUAGUAUGUUAGCCUCAGUCCAACAUAAACCAGACAGAAAUCUAACUAACUUGAUGACAAAAGGAGGUGUCUAUGGAGGUAGCUCACACCCUCCAGAAACGGGAGCAAACACAUCUCUAAAUAGUGGUUAAAUAGCAAGUAAUUUACAGUCAGCAUGAGACACCUCAAGAAUUGGUGAAAUCGCCUGGAGUGCUGAUAUAAGGAGGCAGCAGCGGGGCCCAACAACUUUUACAGAACGGAUUUUUGUUUUAAUUGGUUGAUUCCAGAAGGAAAAGAAUAGAUUCCAGGAAAUCCCAGUGUUUCUGAGUAGUUACAUUACAGAACAACUACCGAGGCUGUUCAGUGAGCCAUUGCGCUGCCAGUAACAAACACCAUCCCAAGAACCAUCUGAGAUACCAGCAAUUUCUAUCAGCAUCAACUCAUACAGUAGUUCUUUGGUCUCAAACACUUCCUUAUGACAAAACGUAUCAUCAUCACCCAUUUCCCUUCACUGAACAGGGCUGCAGACAAUUAUUUAUGUACAAACUUCAGUAGAUACCCAGUAUCGGGUGAGAUGAAUCCCAUUACUUUUAUCCAGUAUUGAGCCCAUACCUCUGGAGUCUCAGCAGAGGUUAAGCUGUCCCAAGAGAUGUUCUGUCUUGAAGCAAUACAAACAUUUUCAUGAUACUCAAAAAAGGGAAAGGACCCUUACUAGACAGAAACUUAGAUCCUGUUUACAGCUUCUCAAAAGACAACAAAUACAUUUCUUAGAAUUUAAGAGACUAUCAAGCCCCAUACAAGUGAGUAGAAUUGACAAAGUUAGCAAAGUAAGAGCGGACUGAAUGAUUAAAUAG